GACGAACGCUGGCGGCGUGCCUAAUACAUGCAAGUAGAACGCAGUUUUGAACGGGUGAGUAACGCAUAGUUCACUGCCUAUUAGAGGGUGAUAACUAUUGGAACCGAUAGCUAAUACCGCAUACUAGUAGAUGGACCUGUGUUGUAUUAGCUAGUAGGUAGGGUAAUGGCCUACCUAGGCAACGAUACAUAGCCGACCUGGGGGGGUGAUCGGCAAAAACUGGACUGGGAAACGGCCCAGACUCCCACGGGGGGCAGCAGGAGGGAAUCUUCGGCAAAGGGGGGAAACCUGACCGAGCAAAGCCGGGUGAGUGAAGAAGGGUUUCGGAUCGUAAAGCUCUGUUGUUAAGGAAGCGGUACUUAACCAGAAAGGGACGGCUAACUACGUGCCAGCAGCCGCGGUAAUAC
rnacentral:rRNA from 1 species